UUUUCUCCAGCCGCCCCGCGCCCGUCCCGCCGCCCCCGCCCCUACGGGAGGCAGCAGUAGGGAAUCUUCCGCAAUGGACGAAAGUCUGACGGAGCAACGCCGCGUGAGUGAUGAAGGUUUUCGGAUCGUAAAGCUCUGUUGUUAGGGAAGAACAAGUGCGAGAGUAAGCUCGCACCUUGACGGUACCUAACCAGAAAGCCAACUACGUGCCAUACGUAGGUGGCAAGCGUUGGGGCGUAAAGGGAGGCGGUUUCUGAAAGCCCCCGGCUCAACCGGGGAGGGUCAUUGGAAACUGGGAAAGUGCAGAAGAGCGGUGAAAUGUGUGGAGGAACACCAGUGGCGAACUGGUCUGUAACUGACGCUGAGGAGCGAAAGCGUGGGGAGCGAACAGGAUUAGAUACCCUGGUAGUCCACGCCGUAAACGUGCUAAGUGUUAGGGGGUUUCCGCCCCUUAGUGCUGCAAGCAUCCGCCUGGAGACGAUGAUCCAGAACCUGUUCCCUGAAUUCAAUCCCAUUUCCAAGAGAAAGAAGAUUUUCUGCAAUUUUAAAGUCCCCACUACUACCCCUUACCUUCUAUACAUAAUAUUUGCCUACACAC
rnacentral:rRNA from 1 species